AUCCGAUCGGAACGUUCUGUAUCCAGUCUUAGGUCAGAGCUGCCUUGACGUCUCUGCUUAUCUCGAAUAACCCUCUGUUUGUCCUACUGUUUCAGCGGUGAGUGGUUCUGCUCGUUCUGCCGGGACCUCCUCAACCCCGAGAUGGAGUACGACUGCAACAGGCGGAACAGCCCGGCCUCGGAAACAUUCACCGCCGUGGAAAGACGGAAGUGUGAGAGGCUUCUGCUGCGUCUGUUCUGCAACGACCUGAGUACCGACUUCCAGCAACCGGCGGCGCCAUCAGAAACACGGCGGUACAAAGAGCUGGUGAAAACG